rnacentral:rRNA from 1 species
UUUUUUGAGAGUUUGAUCCUAGCUCAGGAUGAACGCUGGCGGCAUGUCUUAGGCAUGCAAGUCGAACGGUUCGGCGCAAGCCGGACAGUGGCAGACGGGAGAGUAACACAUUGGUAAUCUACCCUCGAGUCGGGCAUAACCCUGCGAAAGCGGGGCUAAUUCCCGAUGGUCUUGGCUAACGAAAGUUAGUUAAGUAAAGUUUCGGCGCUCGAGGAGGAGCCUAUGUCCCAUCAGCUUGUUGGUAGGGUAAUGGCCUAC